rnacentral:lncRNA from 1 species
CCAGGACAGAUUUCUAAGGAUGGGAUUCCUAUAAAAAUAAGCCUUUGGUAUUAAUGAGUUUUCCUGUCUUCAGUAUUUUCACUGCUCCUUUGGGCAACCAGGCUUCUGCUUUCCACAGCACAAAGGAUAAAACUGCUGCUUUCUUUACACUUUGUCUGCCAGGUAAAAAUGUUUGCUGCGGACAUGAUUUUAUCCCCGUGGGCCUCUUUUAAUACACUGUGAUCCCACUCACGGAUUAGUUAGACUCCAUGUGAAAUUUCUUAUUAAUUGUUUACUUUGAAGAGAGCGUCUCAUUUUUCUGCGGAUAAAGCUGUCAACAAAGCAGCCGAUGCGCCACCGUGAAAAAUGCUGCCUGUGGAAGCUGAGCGGCCCUGCGGUUCCAACGUGCAGGAGCCUCCUUCUCCUCCGCAGGUGCCCCCGGCACGCGCUGCCUGGGGUCCUCAUUCCUCAGCUCACCUUGGUUCCUCUCACACGUGAAAUUCUCGACCCCCCAAAACGGACUGUAAGAGCUCUGAAGAGAAGACCUGUGCCCAACUUGGCUCAAGAGCUCCUGGCCGCCCUGCCCACCCUGCCCCCAAAGCACUGCUCCGCCCGUGUGUAUCCCUGAAGGCAGGGGUUCUUCCCUCACCCCGCGUGCCUCCUGAAGCUCCUCAACAGGACACUUGCCGCUGUUUCUUCUGAACCCCUCACUUGGUUCAGCGUAGAAGCACAGGCUGACGGCCUCUGGGUCUGGGUGCUCAGCAGCCAAGGACACCACAGGAGCCAGUGCUGAAGGAGCUUUUCAAAACGCACAUCCCGUCAGCUCCCUGCGAGGUUUCAAGUGCUGCAGGGACGGCCCACUGCUUCUGGAAUCAGGACAGUUCUCUUUAGAGGAUCCCCAGUGACCCGCUGCUCCCUGGUCAUGAAUCUCUGCUCGCUCUCUGAAGCACAGGCCUCAUCCAGGUUCCCGAGCAAGCCAUGUGCUCUCCUCCCGAAAGGUGGUUCCCUUUGCAGGGACUUCUGCUGACAGCUGACGCGCCUGGUGAGCUGUGCCUCCCCCUUCAGAUCUUCUUCGAGGAAGCCUCCUUCACCCCAGAUAAGGCCGAAGCGCCUAUUAUAUUUUCCCAUGGUGCCCUGUGAGCCCCUGCGGCCUUGCUUGUGACAGAAAUUUUACCUGUGUUUCUGUGCUUGCUUGAUUAACAUAUGCGCCCCCUCCCAGAGGAUAAGUUUCGUGAAAACCAGGACAGCGUCACCGUCACAUAUCUAUCAGCAAGUACACACGAGAGACGUCUGCUGAAUGGAUGAAGGAGGAAAUGGCUAAAACGAAGCGUCAGAGCCUGUGCCAGCUGGGCUGGGGGUCGAGGGGCUGACCUGGCAGUGGUGGUGAAGGGAAGGCAGGGGGCAGAGGUCCUCUGUCAAAACCUUGACAAAGGUGCACAAGCAGACGUCAGAGCAUCAGUGCAUUGCAGCUGCGUGUGAAAUUCUGUUCAUGCACAGUUUUUGUGGUAACAGAGCCCACGGCACGCGUUAAAUAUUCAACUGGGUCCUGACUCUCCCAAAAGAUGAAAAAAAUCACUAGACCAAUCCAACCUUUACACAUGAACUGGAUAACACGUCGGGAGAUGAAAUGUGGUCCCUUGACUUUCUAGCUAGUGCCUGGUCCACCGCCUUUCAACCAAACCACGGCAACCUCACCAUCACCACCACCUAAAACGGCCACGUCUGUGGGCGCCGGAUCCUUUGAAGACCCACUAAGCAAAAUUCCCUGUGUGAAACGCUGGGCUGCCCGAGCAUCUCGCGAGGCGAGAGCGGGCUGGCUGUCCUCAGCCGUCCGGCCUCUUGCUCCCCUCCGUGACCUCCGCCCGAGAGAGGGUGGAAGGCGGUGUGCAGCCCUGGGCUUUGCACCCUCCGCUGGCCUCUGGUUCCUAACUAAUGAAGCCCUGGGCCUUUGCUGGGCCUUGUUUCUACAAGGCUGGACACCUUCUUUUAACAGGACGUACUUGAAAAACACGCUAUUUUCCUUUGUACUGGAAACAAAUGGUGAUUAAUGUGCUCAUUGUAAUUAAUCUGUGGUGACAGAUUAGUGGAGCAGCAGCAGUUCCCUUGCUGCUGUGGGAGCCUUCCUUGAUAGGACAGCUGGUGAGAGGGGACACCAAAUUCAAUUUGUUUCUCAUUUGCAUACAUAUGACAACCAUCUGUGCUAAUAGCACUGCAACAUCUCCAUCAGGCCCUGAGCUCGGUGUCGGCCCCUCCAGGGCUCCCGUCAGGCCUGGGAGAGGGGGAGCUCAGAGCAUAAAUAUUUGUAGAGGAAAAGGGGUGGGCUUGAUGGAACACAACCAACCAUGUCCCCUUUCAUCAGAGGUUAAGCAUGAAACACCAGCUAAGUUGCUCUCACCCACCCAGGGGAGGGGACCUUCCUCUGAGAACUCCUCCUCCUUUCAUCGAAAAGCUGCUAGUCGCUCCAUCUCAAAGAUCCCAUUGAACUGCUCGGGGUCUAGUCCCUGCCAUCCAGUCACUUGAACCAGCUUCAUUUUGGUAAAGACCUUUUUUUUUUUUUUUUUUAGUUUUUGGUCCAUACCUGCAGGGCAUAUAUAAGUUCCCAGGCUAGGGAUCAAAUCAGAGCUGCAGCUGCCAGCCUACGCCACAGCCAACAACAGCACAGGAUCUGAGCCGCAUCUGCGACCUACAGCACCUCUCUAGGGCAACGCCAGAUCCUUAACCCACUGAGUGAGGCCAGGGAUCAAACCUGCAUCCUCAUGGUUCCUAGUUGGGUUUGUUACCGCUGAGCCACAACCAGAACUCCAGAUCUUUUUCUUUUCCUUCAACCAAGAGAGAAAAGGGUUCAGUUUUGUGGGAUUUACAUGCAGGGAUGAAACUGGGCAGCAAAGGAAAAACUAGGGAGAGUUACAGGCAGUGCUCCAUCCUGGGCAGAGCAUCAAGCAGGGUGCUGGGUGGUGCGGGAGAGAGGAGGCGGUGACCACGUUGGAUGUGGCGGCCCAAGGAGCUGUCCCAGAGGAGGAGCGCGUUAAGCUGCUGUCUGCACGACAAGGAGUCGGCCUGUGACCAUCAAAGGGAAACCCAUUUCUCAGACAAAAGGGAACAGGGAGCUUGGCCGGCUGCGGAAGAGAGAGGUGGCCAGCGUGGCUGGAGGGAAGUAAGACAGGAGGCAAGCCUGGUGCGUCCGCCUUGGUUUCCUGGUGCUGGAGGGAGGCGGGGUCCCGCACUGGGGGCUUCCCACUCACCGCCCACAGCCCUGGGGGCUGAAGGCAAGGAAGCCAGGUGUCAGCAUGGCCCUGCAAACUAGAGGGGAGACCAUGUCCUCCCUCUGCCAGCUCCUGGUGUCGCCACCGGUCCUCAGGAUUCCUUGCUGGGCAGACGCUUCACCGCCGCCUCGGCGUCUGCUUCCCACGGCCACUUCCCCCGCUUGUCUCCGCUCCUCUGUACCGAGGCCAGUUGUGUCACCUUAACCAGCUGGAGCACAAGGGGCUCUGAAAGCCAGGGAAGGCGCACCGGUCCUCAGGGAGAGCAAACCUUUAAAGGCUUCUGCAGCCAACCGACAUGAGCCGGUUCCCACAUGGGUGUCACAGGUCGACGGGAAGCAGGACCCGAGGGCAGGAUGAAGGAGACCCCCUAAGGAGAUCAUCCCACCGACCUGCGGGAGCUCCACGGCACGGCGGCCGGAGCCAGGGACGCGGGAGUGACGGAGGGCGGAAGAGGCUUGGAGGGCUAGUCAGCAGGUGGGAUCCACACACCGCCCAACAGACCAGAUGGAGGUAUUUGGAAAAAUGAGGAAAGACGUUUUAGUCCUGAAUGGUUGGAAGGAUGGGGUCAUUUUGGAUGGAAAGGGGAACGUGUGGGAGGUGGGGGACACGUCUGGGAGGGGAAACCAGGUCUUCCACUGGGCAUGUAAGUUGGAGACUGUAGGAGACACCUGCGUGGACGUAAUGCAUCCACUCAGAGGAGAAGCCGGGGUUUGAGACACAAGCAUGGGAGUCAUUUGUUUCAAGUGAUUAUUUAAAGUCCACGGUGGAAGUUCUCAGGUGGUGUGGCAGUUAAGGAUGCAGCAUUGUCACUGCUGUGGCUCAGAUUUGAUCUCUGGCCCAAGAUCUUCUGUAUGUGGUGACACAGCCAAAAGCAAACAAACAAACAAAAAUCCUUCUACGUAAACUAAGCAGACUGAAAUGCAUAUGGUGACAUGAUAAGAUGCCCAGGGUGACACCAUGAUUUAUAAGAAGAAAUCAUUUUUGUUUUUUGUCCUGUUUCUGCAGUAGAGCUUCUGAAACCCUUGGCAUUUCCCAAGUAAUGAGACCAAUAAAGGUAACAUAAAAAAAAAACAACCUUAAUGUACAUUGAUGCAACCACUAUGGAAAACAGUAUGGAGGUUCCUCAAAAAACUAAAAAUAGAACUACCAUACGAUCUAGCAAUCUCACUCUUGGGCAUCUAUCCAGAGAAAAACCAUAAUUUGAAAAUAUACACGUACCACUAUGAUCACUGCAGCACUAUUCACAGUAGCCAAGACAUGCAAGCAACCUAAAUGUCCAUCAACAGAUGAAUGGACAAAGAAGAUGUGGUACAUACACACAAUGGACUAUCACUCACCCAUAAAAAAGAAUGAAAUGAUGCCAUUGGCAGCAACAUGAUGGGCCCAGAAACUAUCACAUUAAGUGAAGUUAGUCAGACAGUGAAAGACAAACAUCAUAAGAUAUCACCUAUAUGUGGAAUCUUAAAAAAAAAGGAUUCAAAUGACUCAUUUGCAGAACAGAUCCUGAGUCACAGACUUUGAAAACCUAUGGUUAUGAAAGGGGCCAGGCGGCGGGGUGGAGGGAUGGACUGGGGGUUGGGGAUUGGCAUAUACACACUGAGGUCUAUGGAACAACUGGCCAGUGGGGACCUGCUGUAGAGCACAGAGACCUCUACCCGAUAUUCUGUGAUCAUCUAGAUGGAAGAAGAAUCUGAGAGAGAAUGGAGGUGUGUAUAUGUACGACUAGGUCGCUUUGCGGUACAGCAGAAGUUAUCACAACCUUGCAAAAUAGUCAAUAAACUUUAAAAAAAAAUAUAUAUAUAUAUAUGAAUGGCCAAUAGACAGAUGAAAAGAUUAAAAAAAAGUCCAUUGUGUUGGCUAAGAUCUCAGCUCUCUCUACAAAGAGAGGAAUAGAGGGAGGAAACGAAGAAAGAAAAGGAAGGAAGGAAAGGAGGGAGGAAGGAAGAAGGGAUUCCUUCUUUCCAGCUGCAAACCCAGGGGUGCCCUGUGGGUGGGCGCCCUUCCCAAGGAUGGAUGAUUUUGCCCCAGGAAAGCGUGUGGAGAAGAGGCCAAGGCUUGGUCGAUGCUCCUCUGCCUCAUGCCUCCUUCUGUCCGCAUGUCAUUCUUUCUCCCUUUGUCCCGGUCCCCCUCCAUGAAGACACAGUCCAUGCUCAGCAUCUUUAUACCCACACACCAGGCUUCUCAGCCUCAGAACCACGGACGACUGGGGCUGGGUCGCUGCUGGGGAAGACUGUCCCACGUGUCGUGGUGCUUAGCUGGGGAAGACUGUCCCACGUGUCGUGGUGCUUAGCCGCAUCCCGGGCCCCCACCCACCAUUUGUGACAAGGAAAAGCGUCUCCAGAUAUUGAUAAAUGUUCUCCAGGAAGAGGUGGGGGGAAAAUGACCCCGGUUAAGAACCACUGCCCUAGAUCCAUCGCAAGGCUCUCUAUACAGGAGACACUCAUUAAAUAUUCUCCGCUGAUGGCGAUAGCAAUUCCGUCUUGGUACACAGCUUCUCUCCGCCUUCCUCUAUCCACUAAAGAGCACAGAUUUCUUAUUAAGAAAACAAAUUUGAAAAAAGCAUCAGAAUUUCCCAUUCACCUCUGGCCAGGGCUCCAGCCUCCUUCUUCGGAGCUGAGUGAGGUAUGAGGGGGGAUGCUUCAUUCAGCCAGUCAACACACAACAACGUUAAACCACAACGGAAUCCACAGAGCUUUCCUGCGACCAAGCCUGGUUCGAUAAGACAGGGGAGGUUAUUAACGAAGAAAAAGAGCUAGCGCACAUUCUAGUGACUUUGCAUCCCAAGUAAAAACGUCAUCUUCAGCACAACAGAUGUUCUUUUUAAAAUUUCAUCGGCCAGAAAAACAGAGGGGGCAGGAUGCAAACCAGACCAUGAGAAUGUAAUCUAGUCUACAGAGUAAUAAGACGAUAGCAUGAUCAGUCCGAAAUGGCAUGAAAUCAAACGACAGGGCGCUGUCCUUCUGGGGCACAAAGCUCCUGCCGCCCUCGU